GACUUAUCAAGAAAGGUGGAGGGAUUUGGCCCUGAGAAACCUUAGCAACCCUUGUCGGAAACGACGUAGAAGGUGCUAACUCCAAUCCCGAUAAUAUCGGGACAGAUAAGCG
rnacentral:ncRNA from 1 species